rnacentral:rRNA from 1 species
CAAUAGCGUAUAUUAAAGUUGUUGCAGUUAAAAAGCUCGUAGUUGGACUUCUGGUGGGAGCGAUCGGUCUGGCGCUUAGCGCGAGUACUUGCAUCGUCUCCGGCCAUCCUUGGGGAGAGUCUGUCUGGCAUUAGGUUGUCGGGCAGAGGAUCCUCAUCGUUUACUGUGAAAAAAUUAGAGUGUUCAAAGCAGGCUUAUGCCGUUGAAUAUAUUAGCAUGGAAUAAUAAGAUAGGACUUUGGUACUAUUUUGUUGGUUUGCGCACCAAAGUAAUGAUUAAUAGGGACAGUUGGGGGUAUUCGUAUUCCGUUGUCAGAGGUGAAAUUCUUGGAUUUACGGAAGACGAACUACUGCGAAAGCAUUUACCGAGGAUGUUUUCAUUAA